rnacentral:lncRNA from 1 species
AAAAUAUCAGAGCUUCGUUGACUAAAGGUGAAGGUGGGAGCUGAACCAAAUGUAUGCUGGGAACUAUGGCCAUUGCCGUGGCAACAGAUGCACCGGUCCCUGUCUGUCACCUGCAGGUGAGCAGGUGAUGUCACUGCUGGAGGUGAAAGCGGUUCCUGAUACCAACAUUUACCUACAGAGCCACCGAUGAACCAUCUUUAUCCAGGACUUGGGCGUCCUUGGAGUUGACUACUUCAGGGAUCUUGCUUCAGCUGUCCCUUAAACUGCUAAAUGUUCAUGUUUUAGUGGGAUCUCUGACUCACAGAUUGCUGGGCACAAGUACCAGACAGAGGCCCAGACCGUGACUGGCAUCUGAGGUUGAGGUGUUCUGUGUCACUGAGCACUUAGCCUGUGGGCUCUGAUGUUAGGUCCAGGUAGUGUCCGAAUCAGACUCAAUAAAACAACCACCACCA